rnacentral:rRNA from 1 species
GGAAUAUUGCGCAAUGGAGGAAACUCUGACGCAGUGACGCCGCGUAUAGGAAGAAGGUUUUCGGAUUGUAAACUAUUGUCGUUAGGGAAGAUACAAGACAGUACCUAAGGAGGAAGCCCCGGCUAACUAUGUGCCAGCAGCCGCGGUAAGACAUAGGGGGCAAGCGUUGUCCGGAAUUAUUGGGUGUAAAGGGUGCGUAGACGGAGGAGCAAGUUGGUUGUGAAAUCCCUCGGCUUAACUGAGGAACUGCAACUGAAACUACUUCCCUUGAGUGUCGGAGGGGAAAGUGGAAUUCCUAGUGUAGCGGUGAAAUGCGUAGAUAUUAGGAGGAACACCGGUGGCGAAGGCGACUUUCUGGGCGAUAACUGACGUUGAGGCACGAAAGUGUGGGGAGCAAACA